UACGUAGGGGGCGAGCGUUGUCCGGAUUCACUGGGCGUAAAGGGUUCGUAGGCGGCAUAUCAAGUCUCACGUCAAAUCCCCGGGCUCAACUCGGGACAGGCAUGGGAUACUGGUAAGCUUGAGGACGGAAGAGGCGAGCGGAACGUUGCAAGUAGCGGUGAAAUGCAUUGAUAUGCAACGGAACACCAAUGGCGAAGGCAGCUCGCUGGUCCGUAUCUGACGCUGAGGGACGAAAGCCAGGGUAGCGAACGGGAUUAGAUACCCCGGUAGUCCUGGCUGUAAACGAUGGGUACUAGGCGUCGGGGGUAUCGACCCCCUCGGUGCCGCAGCUAACGCGUUAAGUACCCCGCCUGGGGACUACGGCCGCAAGGUUGAA
rnacentral:rRNA from 1 species